rnacentral:rRNA from 1 species
AGUGGCGGACGGGUGAGUAACGCGUGAGAAUCUGCCCUCAGGUCGGGGAUAACAGUUCGAAAGAGCUGCUAAUACCGGAUGUGCCGCAAGGUGAAAGAUUUAUUGCCUGAGGAUGAGCUCGCGUAAGAUUAGCUAGUUGGUAGGGUAAUGGCCUACCAAGGCGACGAUCUUUAACUGGUCUGAGAGGAUGAUCAGUCACACUGGAACUGAGACACGGUCCAGACUCCUACGGGAGGCAGCAGUGGGGAAUUUUCCGCAAUGGGCGAAAGCCUGACGGAGCAAGACCGCGUGCGGGAGGAAGGCCCUUGGGUCGUAAACCGCUUUUGUCAGGGAAGAACUCAAUGACGGUACCUGAUGAAUCAGCCUCGGCUAACUCCGUGCCAGCAGCCGCGGUAAGACGGAGGAGGCAAGCGUUAUCCGGAAUUAUUGGGCGUAAAGCGUCCGCAGGUGGCAUCUCAAGUCUGUCGUCAAAACCCAGGGCUUAACUCUGGACAGGCGAUGGAAACUGGGUCGCUAGAGUAUGGUAGGGGUAGAGGGAAUUCCAGGUGUAGCGGUGAAAUGCGUAGAUAUCUGGAAGAACACCAGUGGCGAAAGCGCUCUACUGGGCCAUAACUGACACUCAUGGACGAAAGCUAGGGGAGCGAAAGGGAUUAGAUACCCCUGUAGUCCUAGCCGUAAACGAUGAACACUAGGUGUUGUC